AGACUUUGAAACCCUGGACUGUGGCAGAACUUGGGUUCUUGAGGCACACAUGGAAGGCUACUCAGUGAAAACAGGACUGUUACGUAUGAACAAAAGACCAAAAGUUUGAUAACUCAGUUGGCAAGGCUAUGGGGAAAUAGACACUCUCAUAUAUCAAUCAUGAGAGGAAGAAGAAUCUGCGCCUGCCCCUGGCUCAGUGCCUGGUGCCAACAGAACACCUUUCAGGAUCCACAGCAACGCAGACAACGAGUCCAAGAUCCCGGCCUCUGCUUGGAACGGAACAGUGUCAUGGCGGAGACGACGGCCUUUGUCUUGCUGGGUGUGAAAGCAUCCGCUGUGCUUGCUCCACUGCGGCAGAAUCAAGUUUAAAGGAAGAAAGGUACAGACGCCAGCCGCUUGGCACACUCUGCCUUCCGCACUGGUGCAGGGGGGCAGGGAAAGCCCGCAGCAAAACUGGCAACUGCUGAGGGAACGUUGCCUGCUUAUUGGAGUAGAGCCGAUAGAAGUCGACGUGAUACUGCCUCGUCCUUACGUCCUGUGAAAGAGAUAUAUAGGGUGCCAUGAAAAUGUGUACCAGGAGGAACUGAUCUUUGGAGAGCAUGUCAGAAAAGACUUCCUGAAGAAAGUGAAUUCAAGGUGAAUGCUGAAAGUUGAAAAGAAAUUAGACAAAAAGAGGGAGAAAAUAUUUUCCAUGUAGAGAG